GCAUUUUGUUCAGGUGACAAUACAUGGAGCUGCCGUUCACAAAACUUGAAGUAGCUUUCAUCUUGCUGGCUUUUGUGAUUUUCACCUUGUUUAUCCUGGCUUCUAUUUACAACGAACCUGACACAAAGAAUGCAGACAAGGAAUACUAUCCACACAAAGAAAGGAG